AGUUUGAUCCUGGCUCAGGAUGAACGCUGGCGGCGUGCCUAACACAUGCAAGCCGAGCGGGAAAUAAUUAAACGAGAUUUCGGUCAAGUGAAAUUAUGGAGAGCGGCGGACGGGUGAGUAACGCGUAGGCAACCUGCCCCAUACAGAGGGAUAGCCUCGGGAAACCGUGAUUAAAACCUCAUAAUGCCAAAGUAGCACAUGCUAAGUUGGUCAAAGAUUUAUCGGUAUGGGAUGGGCCUGCGUCUGAUUAGCUAGUUGGUAAGGUAACGGCUUACCAAGGCAACGAUCAGUAGCCGACCUGAGAGGGUAAUCGGCCACAUUGGAACUGAGACACGGUCCAAACUCCUACGGGAGGCAGCAGUGGGGAAUAUUGCACAAUGGGCGAAAGCCUGAUGCAGCAACGCCGCGUGAGCGAAGAAGGCCUUUGGGUCGUAAAGCUCUGUCCUUGGGGAAGAAAAAAAUGACGGUACCCUUGGAGGAAGCCCCGGCUAACUACGUGCCAGCAGCCGCGGUAAUACGUAGGGGGCGAGCGUUAUCCGGAAUUAUUGGGCGUAAAGAGUACGUAGGUGGUUAUAUAAGCGCAGGGUGAAAGGCAAUGGCUCAACCAUUGUUAGCCUUGCGAACUGUAUGACUUGAGUGC
rnacentral:rRNA from 1 species